GAUGAACGCUGGCGGCGUGCCUAAUACAUGCAAGUCGAGCGAACGGACGAGAAGCUUGCUUCUCUGAUGUUAGCGGCGGACGGGUGAGUAACACGUGGAUAACCUACCUAUAAGACUGGGAUAACUUCGGGAAACCGGAGCUAAUACCGGAUAAUAUUUUGAACCGCAUGGUUCAAAAGUGAAAGACGGUCUUGCUGUCACUUAUAGAUGGAUCCGCGCUGCAUUAGCUAGUUGGUAAGGUAACGGCUUACCAAGGCAACGAUGCAUAGCCGACCUGAGAGCGUGAUCGGCCACACUGGAACUGAGACACGGUCCAGACUCCUACGAGAGGCAGCAGUAGGGAAUCUUCCGCAAUGGGCGAAAGCCUGACGGAACAACGCCGCGUGAGUGAUGAAGGUCUUCGGAUCGUAAAACUCUGUUAUUAGGGAAGAACAUAUGUGUAAGUAACUGUGCACAUCUUGACGGUACCUAAUCAGAAAGCCACGGCUAACUACGUG
rnacentral:rRNA from 1 species